GUCAGUUUUUUAUGCAUUUUUUUUAAGGCACGCUGCCUGCUUUUAUUUAUAGGCUGUUUUUAACUUGUCUAUUUCAAAUUAUUUUCUAACAAGUUUUAUUUUCUAUGAACAGUUUGAAUUGAGGUGUGUUCUGCCUCAUUAAUUCACAUAAAAGUAAGCCAUUUGACUUUUGCGGACAAUACAUUUUUUGGCCAUUACAAACUUUCCCAAGCACUUCCCCAUUGUUUCCGCAGAUCAAGUAUGCAGACAUUUGCGCAUCUCCAGUUAGAACAGGACCUGCACAAAGUUUUUCACAUUUUCCGGGCUGGUGCCCACUUCCACUUCAUUGUUGUUUUCAUUACUACAUGAUACUAACUUUGGACAUGCGUGAGGUUCAAUCAAAAAACCACACACACACAAACAGUAUUGAACAUUAUUUGCCAAUAUCAUAACUCGAGCUGGACAUCUUUGGAGCUGAAGAAUGAGGACAGUUUUUGUAUGCUAACGUACACUCCUUAACAGUUGUACUGGAUGAAAACACAGCAAGAAAACACAUAGGCCUAUAUGUAUUUUAUUGAAGUAUUGGUUGAACAAAAACAACUUGUUUUACUAGAGGGAAAAAAACUGCAAGAAAAGACUGAUAACUUGUGAAUAUGUAUAACCCCCCACCCAUAAAGGCAUAGUAUCAUGGCAGAUCACCGGUCAAGUCACCUGUCUAGUCAGUCAGUCUGUAAUUGCUGCAGAUGUGCUCAAUAGUGCUUGGUCAGUUAGGAAUCACCACUUUAUUUUCAGAAUGUGAAAUGUCAGAAUAAUAGUGUAGAGAAUGAUUUCAGCUUUUAUUUCUUUCACAUUCCCAGUAAGUCAUAAGUUUACAUACACUCAAUUAGUAUUUGGUAGCAUUGCCUUUAAAUUGUUUAACUUGGGUCAAAUGUUUCGGGUAGCCUUCCACAAGCUUCCCACAAUAAGUUGGGUGAAUUUUGGCCCAUUCCUCCUGACAGAGCUGGUGUAACGGAGCCAGGUUUGUAGGCCUCCUUGCCCUCCUUACACCAGCUCUGAAUUUUACAAACACUUCAAACUCAGUAUGUGUCAUGAUGUUUUGAUAAGCGUGCAAUUCUCUCUCGGACAAGGUGGGGUUUAUCAAUAUAUUCACCUCAAUUUACUUUAAAAAAUGUGAAAUGCUAAUUAGGAACAGAGAAGCCCUCAGCAAGACUACUAAUUUCCUGCAGGAAGCUUCUGUCUUUCAUCUCUAGCUGACAAAGCUACCGUUCACCAGCGUGAUUAAAGACCUUUGCCCAAUCCAUGAUGAAUCCAUGUGCUGUAUUGAGAUUAAAUGAAUAGUGUUGGAACUUCUUCCAUCCCCUUUCUGUCUUAGCUAGCCCCUGACUACACUUUAGCUAGUCAGUUAGCAGAGCAGUAGUUCAAUUUUAUUUUUUUCUUAUCACUUAAGCUUAGAUAAUUGUUUGUGCAGUAUGUCUACUUUGAUAUCUAUUUCAGACUUUAUGGCAUUUUUCAAGGAUGAGCAUUAAAAGGGGACAAGUCUGGCCAUGUGGAGAAGUGCAGCUAUAGUGCGGGGAAAUUCACCGGUUUGGUCAAGGCCAGCAUGAGGUUUAAAGUUUGUCCUGUGUCGGUGAGUAUAGCUAUUAAGUUAAGUUUGGGCAUCUUAGCAAUACAAUGGGAUCUAUACUGCUGUCAACAUUCUACAGGGAAAGGGCCACUUAAUCAAUUAUAUAAUCAUGAACUAGAUUACCCCAGAUACCAGACUUGAUAUUAAUAAUAUGAGUAAUAACUCAGUUCUAGAAUGUUGUCAUUGAUGAGAAUAAAUCAAAAAAUCUAUUAACAUUCAGAAUGGACUUUGUAAUAGACAUCCUGUCUCUAAUGUAGUUUCAUGAAACAAACCUUCAAAGACACAGUCUUGAUUUAUAGGAUCCUUCCCACUAUAUUAUUGAUAUGUCAAGUGAUAAAAUCCCAAGUUAUCAAUUAAAAGUGUAUGGAAAAACGCAGCCUCCAAAGCAAAUGGAAACAUUUGCCAUAACUGCAGGAAAAGAGAAAUGGAGUGUCUUGCCCUUUUCAUUAUGGAGUUUGGUGCCAUCUGUAGUUUAUAGACUGUGUUGCCGCUUUAAUUACGGUUUGUUUUGAUGUAUGUUAGAAAUCAAACAGUAAAUGUUAUUUAAUGUGCCGGAUAAAUAACAAAUGAGAUGGUCUAGAAAGUCUUUAUGAAAUGUGCAGUAUGUUGUGAAUAUUUGAUAUCAUAUCAGUGCUGUGACUUGAAGCUGACAAGCGCUUCCUCUCACGAAAGAGUUCAAAUCAAUGUGCCAACCACAAGCAGUUGGCACUUGUUUUAGCAGUCUGAUCAAUUUCUCCCACUACUUCUCAACCUAGUUUCAAAAGAAAACGGAGGCAGGCCUGCCAGUGUAUAUAGAACUUGGAGCUUUGAUCUUGAUUGCUUCCUUUUUAUAUUUGAAACUCCUCCCUUAAUCAUAUGAUGCUGCUCUGGUUGGGGAUGUGGGGUGCAAAAUGAAAAUAUCUAAACGUUUUGAGGAGGUUUUUGCCAACAAUGAGACUUGCAGGUUAGCAUUUUUCGUCAUGAAUCUUGUUCUGAAAGCAGCUCACAAUGUUAAAUCUCUAUAAAAAUGUAAGACCUUACUUUAUGGAUAGAAUAGAAUAAACCCUUUGAAUAUAAUACAUUAAAAAUAAAAUAGCUUUUUUUUUCAGAGAAGGAACUUCAGAAAGUAUUCAUACCCCUUGACUUAUUCCACAUUUUUUGUUGUGUUACAGCCUGAAUUCAAAAUUGAUUCAACAAAAAAAUUUUUUAACCCAUCUACACACAAUACCCCAUAAUGGCAAAGUGAAAACAUGUUUUUGGAAUUAUUUGCAAAUGUAUUGAAAAUUAAAUACAGAAAUACCUCAUUUACAUAAGUAUUCACACCCCUGAGUCAAAACAUGUUAGAAUCACCUUUUGAGAGCAAUUACAGUUGUAAAUGUCUCUAAAAGCUUUGCACAACUGGGUUGUACAGUAUUUGCACAUUAUUCUUAAAAAAAUAAUUCAAACUCUGUCAAGUAGUUGAUCAUUGCUAGACAGCCAUUUUCAAGUCUUGUCAUAGGUUUUCAAGCCGGUUUAAGUCAAAACUGUGACUACAGUAGGCCACACAGGAACAUUUAAUGUCGUCUUGGUAAGCAACUCCAGUGCCGAUAACAAGCAUAACCAUAACAUGAUGCAGCCACAACCAUGCUUGAAAAUAUGAAGAGUGAUACUCAGUGAUGUUGGAUUUGCCACAAAUGUAACGCUUUGUAUUCAGGACAUAAAGUUAAGUUCUUUGCCACAUUAUUUUGCAGUUUUACUUUAGUGACUUAUUGCAAACAGGAUGCAUGUUUUGGAAUAUUUUAAUUGUGUACAGGCUUCCUUCUUUUCAAUAAUUUAGGUUAGUAUUUGUCACGUUCUGACCUUAGUUCUUUUGUUAUGUCUUUGUUUUAGUAUGGUCAGGGCGUGAGUUGGGUGGGUUGUCUAUGUUCCUUUUUUCCAUGUUGUGUUUUGUGUUUGGCCUGGUAUGGUAUGGUUCUCAAUCAGAGGCAGGUGUCGUUAGUUGUCUCUGAUUGAGAAUCAUACUUAGGUAGCCUUUCCCACCUGUGUGGGGGGUGAUUGUUUCCUGUUUUGUUGUUUGUGUCACCAUUCAGGACUGUUUCGGUUUUCGUUUCCAUUCACUUUGUUAUUUUUGUAUUGAGUCGUGUUCAGUUAUUAUUAAAGUAUCAUGGACACUUACAA